rnacentral:rRNA from 1 species
CACGUAGGGGACGAGCGUUGUCCGGAUUUAUUGGGCGUAAAGCGCGCGUAGGCGGCUCGGAAAGUCGGGUGUGAAAUCCCGGGGCUCAACCCCGGAACUGCACCCGAUACUGCCUCGCUCGAGUCCCGGAGAGGAUGGCGGAAUUUCCGGUGUAGAGGUGAAAUUCGUAGAUAUCGGAAGGAACACCAGCGGCGAAGGCGGCCAUCUGGACGGUGACUGACGCUCAGACGCGAAAGCGUGGGGAGCAAACAGG